GGGAGAGAGAGCGCGGCGGGGCGACUCCUCCCCCGCCACACCCGGUGCGGCAGGAAGAGGAACAACCGCGCCCAGCUCCCGCUAGCCCCAGCCCAGCGCAGCGCCAUGGCGGCGGAGGACGUGGACGGGCUGGCCGUGUCCCGGCCCCACUAUGGCUCUGUCUUGGAUAAUGAGAGAUUAACAGCAGAGGAAAUGGAUGAAAGGCGACGCCAGAAUGUAGCCUAUGAAUACCUUUGUCAUCUGGAGGAAGCAAAGAGAUGGAUGGAGGCCUGUUUGAAUGAGGAGCUGCCUGCCACAACAGAGCUGGAAGAAGGAUUGAGAAAUGGAGUCUACCUGGCAAAACUUGGAAACUUUUUCUCCCCUAAAGUGGUUUCUGUGAAGAAAAUCUAUGACAGGGAACAGACUAGGUAUAAGGCAACUGGUCUCCACUUCCGACACACAGAUAAUGUAAUCCAGUGGCUGAAUGCCAUGUCUGAGAUUGGUCUCCCCAAGAUAUUCUACCCAGAAACAACAGAUAUCUAUGAUCGCAAGAACAUGCCACGCUGUAUCUAUUGUAUUCAUGCACUCAGCCUGUACCUUUUUAAACUGGGUCUUGCCCCCCAGAUUCAGGAUUUAUAUGGCAAGGUAGACUUCACAGAGGAGGAAAUCAGUAAUAUGAGGCUUGAACUGGAGAAGUAUGGUAUUCAGAUGCCUGCCUUCAGCAAGAUUGGAGGAAUUCUUGCAAAUGAACUUUCAGUGGAUGAAGCUGCAUUGCAUGCUGCUGUCAUUGCCAUUAAUGAAGCAAUUGACCGUCAGGUUCCAGCUGAUACACUUACAGCAAUGAAGAACCCUAAUGCCAUGCUAAUAAAUCUGGAUGAUCAACUGGAAUCCACUUACCAAGCCACACUCUACAGAGCAAAGCAAGACAAGAUGGAGAAUGCCAAAAAUAGGAUUGCCUCAGAAAGUUCAGAUAGAGAGAGAGACGUGUAUGAAGAACUUCUGACUCAAGCUGAGAUUCAGGGAAACAUCAAUAAAGUGAACACACAUGCAGCCAUAUCAAAGAUUGACUUGGCUUUGGAACGAGGGGAUGCACUAGCACUGUACGAAGCUUUGGCAACACCAGCCCUGGGACUCCGAGGAUUGCUACGAGAAAAUUGCGACUGGUAUUUCAAGCAGUUCUUGAGUGAUAGGCAACAGAAACAGGAGGCUGGCCUUACAGGUCCUCUGCAGAAGGAGGAGUUGCAGUUGGGAGUGGAUGCUGCUAACAGGGCAGCACAACAGUACCAGCAAAGACUGGCAGCAGUAGCCAAAAUUAAUUCAGCAAUUCGAAUGGGUGAUGCUGAGAAGACUGUGGCAGAAAUUAUGAAUCCAGAGGCCCAGUUACCAGAGGUUUAUGGAUUUGCUGCAGAUCUCUACCAAAGGGAGCUGGCCACCUUACAGCAACAGAGCCCUGAAGGUCACCUCACCCAUCCAGAACUAUCUGUUGCUGUAGAGAUGCUGUCUUCUGUAGCCCUGAUUAACAGGGCUUUGGCUUCAGGGGAUAUGAAUACAGUGUGGAAACAACUGAGCAGUCCUGUUACAGGCCUUACAAACGUUGAGGAUGAGAACUCGCAGAGAUACAUUGAUGAUUUGGUGAAGCUGAAAGCUGAAAGAAGUGCAGAAGGAAAUGAAUUUAUCACAUGGAAUGAUAUCCAAUCAUGUGUUGAUCAUGUGAACAAAGUUGUGCAUGAAGAGCACGAAAGGAUUUUGGCAAUUGGUCUUAUUAAUGAAGCUCUGGAUGAAGGGGACACCAAGAAAACUCUUCAAGCCUUACAGACUCCUGCAGCAAAAUUGGAGGGUGUAGCCCCAAAGGUAGCACAGCAUUACCAGGAUACACUACUUCGAGCCAAGAGAGAGAAAGCGCAGGACACACAGGAUGAAACAGCUGUACUUUGGCUAGAUGAAAUUCAGGAUGGGAUUCAUAAAGCUAACAAGGACACAGAGGAGUCCCAGAGAUUCUCCUUAGGAAUUCUGGCCAUUAAUGAAGCAGUAGAUCAUGGUGACGUUAGUCAGACCCUGAGUGCCUUGCGUUCACCUGAUGUUGGGCUGUAUGGAGUCACUCCAGAAUGUGCUGAGACAUACCAGCAAGAAUUAUCAGAAGUCAAGAAAAGGGCAGCAGGGGGCAAUGGCAGUGACUGGGUGAAACACUGGGUGAGAGGAGGCUAUCAUUAUUACCAUAACCUGCGGACCAAAGAUGGAGGAUGGGAUGAACCAGCAGAAUUUGUCCAAAAUGACACUCAGCUGUCACGGGAAGAGAUACAGAGCACCAUAUCUGGAGUCACUGCAGCAUACAACCGAGAACAGUUGUGGCUUGCAAAUGAGAGCCUGAUUAUGAAACUUCAGGCUUGCUGUCGAGGGUAUCUUGUUCGCCAGGAAUUCAACUCAAGAAUUAAUUUUUUGAAGAAGCAAGUCCCAGCAAUCACUUGCAUUCAGUCUCAAUGGCGUGGCUACAAGCAAAGGAAGGCAUAUCAAAUCCGUUUGGAUUACCUACGCGCACAAAAGGACCAAGUAGUAAAGAUUCAGUCAAUGACCAGGAUGUAUCAAGCCAGAAGACGUUACAGAGACCGUCUGCAGUAUUUCAGAAACCAUAUAAAUGAUGUUGUAAAAAUUCAAGCCUUUAUUCGAGCAAACAAAGCCCGAGAAGACUACAAAACCCUCAUUAAUGCAGAAAAUCCACCUAUGGCUGUGGUUCGGAAAUUUGUCCACUUGCUUGAUCAGAGUGACCAAGAUUUUCAGGAGGAGCUUGAGCUAAUGAAACUGCGUGAAGAAGUUGUAACCUUGAUCCGAUCCAAUCAGCAACUGGAAAAUGACCUCAAUCUAAUGGACAUCAAAAUUGGUUUGCUAGUGAAAAACAAAAUUACAUUGCAGGAUGUUGUUUCUCACAGCAAAAAACUUACCAAGAAGAACAAGGAACAGCUCUCUGACAUGAUGAUGCUGAACAAACAAAGGGGAGGUUUGAAAGCACUGAGCAAAGAAAAGAGAGAAAAGUUGGAAGCCUAUCAGCAUUUGUUUUACCUGCUUCAGACUAACCCAACCUACUUGGCCAAGCUGAUUUUUCAGAUGCCUCAAAACAAAUCCACAAAAUUCAUGGAUUCUGUCAUCUUCACGCUGUAUAACUAUGCAUCCAAUCAAAGAGAGGAAUACCUGUUGUUGCGACUUUUCCAAACAGCACUGCAGGAAGAGAUCAAAUCAAAAGUAGACCAGAUACACGAAAUUGUGACUGGGAAUCCUACUGUUAUUAAGAUGGUGGUAAGUUUCAAUCGUGGUGCCCGUGGUCAGAAUGCCCUGAGGCAGAUCCUUGCACCAGUUGUGAAGGAAAUCAUUGAUGACAAGUCACUUAAUAUCAAAACUGAUCCUGUGGAUAUUUACAAGUCUUGGGUUAACCAGAUGGAAUCUCAAACUGGAGAGGCCAGCAAACUGCCGUAUGAUGUUACGCCUGAGCAAGCCCUAAGUCAUGAAGAGGUGAGGACACGCCUGGAUGCCUCAAUCAGAAACAUGAGGACAGUGACAGACAAGUUCCUGUCUGCCAUUAUUAGUUCAGUGGACAAAAUCCCGUAUGGAAUGCGUUUCAUUGCCAAGGUCCUAAAAGACUCCCUGCACGAGAAGUUUCCUGAUGCUGGUGAGGAUGAGCUUCUGAAGAUUGUUGGCAACUUACUCUACUAUCGUUACAUGAAUCCAGCCAUUGUUGCACCAGAUGCAUUUGACAUCAUCGACCUUUCAGCUGGAGGUCAGCUGACGACAGAUCAGCGCAGGAACCUCGGUUCCAUUGCAAAGAUGUUACAGCAUGCUGCAUCCAAUAAGAUGUUCAUGGGAGACAAUGCUCAUCUAAGCAUCAUUAAUGAAUACCUGUUGCAGUCAUACCAGAAAUUCAGACGUUUUUUUCAGGCUGCCUGUGAGGUUCCCGAAUUGCAGGAUAAAUUUAAUAUUGAUGAAUAUUCAGACUUGGUGACUCUCACUAAACCAGUAAUUUACAUUUCUAUCGGUGAAAUCAUCAAUACACACACUUUGCUCUUAGACCAUCAAGAUGCAAUUGCUCCUGAGCACAACGAUCCAAUUCACGAGCUGCUGGAUGAUCUCGGAGAGGUUCCUACAAUUGAGUCCUUAAUAGGGGAAGGUUCUGGCAAUGUUAAUGACCCCAACAGAGAAAUGCUAGCAAAGACUGAGGUUUCUCUCACACUCACUAAUAAAUUUGACGUUCCUGGUGAUGAGAAUGCAGAGAUGGAUGCAAGGACAAUUCUGUUGAACACAAAACGUUUAAUUGUUGAUGUAAUCCGCUUCCAGCCAGGGGAGACACUGACUGAAAUUUUGGAAACUUCAGCUACCUCAGAGCAAGAAGCAGAGCAUCAGAGAGCUAUGCAGAAACGGGCCAUUCGUGAUGCUAAAACUCCUGAUAAGAUGAAAAAAUCUGUCUCUGUAAAAGAAGAUGGCAACUUGAAUCUCCAAGAAAAAAAAGAAAAAAUCAAGGCAGGACUUAAGAAGUUGACAGAACUGGGGCCAGUGAAUGCCAAAAAUAAAUACCAGGAACUAAUCAAUGACAUUGCGAAGGAUAUCAGAAAUCAGCGUAGAUACCGUCAGAGAAGAAAGGCGGAGCUAGUGAAACUGCAGCAGACAUACAGUGCCUUGAACUCCAAAGCUACUUUUUAUGGAGAACAAGUAGAUUAUUACAAAAGUUACAUAAAGACCUGCUUGGAUAACUUGGCCAGCAAGGGCAAAGUCUCCAAGAAACCUCGAGAGAUGAAAGGCAAAAACAGUAAAAAGAUUUCUCUGAAAUACACAGCAGCUCGACUUCAUGAGAAGGGAGUGCUUUUAGAGAUUGAGGACCUGCAAGGUAACCAGUUUAAAAACGUGAUUUUUGAAAUCAGUCCAACAGAAGAAGUAGGAGAUUUUGAGGUUAAAGCAAAAUUCAUGGGUGUACAGAUGGAAACCUUUAUGUUACAUUAUCAGGUGUACCCUGCAAUGACGGCAUCAGAAUCCAAGCCCGCCCGAAGCGUGCAGGCCAAGAACCCGGGCAUUCUGAGGAGAAUGACCAAGAGGUGACAGCUGGAACUUACCAGACUGGCAGACGGCCUUCUUCUGCAGCCAACAGGGAUUUUCAUCCCCACAUGUGUGCAAGAUAAGUGGAGGGUUAUGACCCACAGAGGGGAUGAAAGCAGGAUGCCAGGUUGGGACUCCCCAGGAGGGGUUUUUAAGUCAGUUCUGGAGUUGGGAACGUUCAAGAAGCGUCUCCUUAGGCCUCCUAAAGGGAAAAUGUUUCUUUUGAUCUCAGUGCUGAGGAGCGCAGGGCAGAGCAGUUCUGGUGUGUGUCCUGUCACUUGUCUCUGGUGCACUCUGUGUUCUUUGGGUCUUUCGGUCCUUUCUUCUUGUUGAAAGCUCUCUCUCCCUGUCUUAUCCUGUCCUUUGUCACAUCCUGUGCUGCGUCACGGGUGUCUGCACAUAUUUCUCCUUGUGCUGCUCUGCCCUUUUGCGUAGCCUGGUGUAAUUGCACCAGUCCCACAGAUUUGCAAUUUGGCGUGGGGCAUGUAGUUGCAUUCUAGGUAGUAUUCCCAGUGUCACACCAGAUGUUUGGACCUGUUAAGUUAUUGUACAGCUGUUUGAAUUUUCUCCCAACUUUCUUUCAGAUGCAGAUGGAUUAACUCUGUGCCAAGUGCCCCUUGAGGUCAGGGGAUUUCCCUGAGAAGUUUUAGGAAGUCCAGGCAGCUAGGAGCAGUCAAGGCCCAGUGUGCCAGGCACUCCUCUUUCAAGAUGUCUCUGGUCCGAAUGUCCGAGCCCAGGUUGGGUGCAAGCUUAAGGUGCUGUUGCUGCCCUAGAUGUGUGAAGGAACAGAGGCGAGCGGGUGAAUUGGCAUUUAGGCACGGUCACUCAUAGGUGACUGUUAUGCAGCAGCAUGCUAAGUGUGUAGCUUUUCAUUUUACAGGUGUCCUCCAGGCAGCCUGUGGAGUCAAAUCGAGAUUUCAGGUGAGCCGGGGCAGCGGUGUAUCGGAGUUCCAGGGAUUCCUCUUUUGGUGGGCACUAAUUGCAUUUUCCCUUUUGUCUUUGGUACCCUGAGGAGCUGCGUAGCUGAAGUUUGGAAACGGCAGCCCUGAAGCGGAUGUAGAGAACAUCUCACCGUCCACAUCCAAGUGACAUUGGAUUCUGUCUGGUCGUCUUGCAAAAGCUAAGUGCUGGGACCAGUUGGUGGGAGAUGGGGGAAAAACCUUUACUAUCACAGGAGGCAAUUUGAUGUUAACUUAGAGGAGAGGCCCAUAGUGGGACGGGCCCCUUGGCAUCAAAGAGAGAGGUUUUCUCCUCAGCCUCGCCAGAGUCUUCGCCAGGCAGGGCAGUUCCGAUCCGUCUCCACGUUCUCGUGAGGCUCCCGUCGGCGACCUUCUACGACUCUCGACAUCGUUGUGGAUCUUUUCACCCGAGGAGCCCGCCUGCACGUCUGGAGCUAUAGCCAUGGUCAACCCGUAGUCACUGCUUCCUUCUCUGCGCUUACUGAGCUUCUUAGGCUUCCUCUUAGUGCUUUGGCACUAACAUCUUGAGAGGAGUUACAUUUUAUCAUCGUGUGCUAUUGCCCUAGGGCUUUCCUUCCUUUGGCAUCAUCAGACCAUGGCUCAUCUUGGGCUGGGAAUCUUGGUCCAUAAGGUGAAACUGCCAUGCAGUUUCCACUCGUGUCCGUGUCAUGAUGUCUGUGUCCGGUGUCAUGUUUUCCGUGUCCACUGAUUUCUGUGUCAUAGGCUUUUGUUACAUCUCCACCUCUUUGUACCUACCUUGGCUUAUGGGUUAUGAGGUUCUGUUGUGCCAAUUACGAUCGGAGCUGCCCUGCCCGGGCACAUAGUCACGCUUAGGUAGAGCAGUUGUAAAACUUUGUAGUUCAUCUGUCUUGUAUGGGGUUUUGGGUACAACACUGGUGGGCCCAGAGUGGGUAUAGCUCCUAGCUGUAAGAUAGUCAGUUGUUGACCGCCUCCCAUUGUCUCGUAGGUCCCCGGUCCCUACAGAAUUUCCUGGAAUCUACCAUUUGACGUCGAGGAGCAGCAGUCAGAAGAUGUGUUGAAGCAUAUUCUUCAGCGUAGUGUUUCACAUAAGGGUGGCAUUCAGCGCGUAAGCAGAAGUGUGUGUGAGUGUGAUUGUCUGUGUCUGUGAGAGUUUGUGUGUGCUCCUGUCUGCAGGUCUGAGCGUAUGCUGACCGGUGUUAACCCUGUGUGUAUGGCUUUUGCCUUUCAGGUUUUUCAACUCAUUUUUGAGUUUAGAAUAAAAAAUCCCCAGCCGGGGGGUUUUUUUCUUUUCCCCCCCCACCCCCUGGCUGGGUUAUUUUCCUCUGUCCUGGCCGGUCUGCGAGGCGACGGUCAUCACUAAGGUUUGGCCACGGACCAUCCCCUGACCAGGGUUUUUGUCAAGAGGAUUUUUUGGAGGCUCCUGGGAGCCACAUUCCCGAGGAACAAUGAUUUCUGGGGUAUAACAGAGCAGUUGAGAUGAGAGCGAUGGCGAGGUUGUGUGUAACAUGAAGGAGGUGCUCAUGGUGGAUGAGUGUUGUUUUGUGUGUGUAAUCUUUGUUUUGGGUUUCCUCUAACAAGAAAACAAAAUGUAAUUAAAAUAGAAAAAAGGAUCAUAUUGUGUUGAUAUGUGUUUGGUUUCUAUUGCCCUCUGUUGUUCUGUAUUUGCAUUUGCUGCUGCAUUUCCAUGUAUUGCUCUGUAUAUAUGCAUGUCUAUGGAUUGUAUCUGUACUUGCAUUUGUAUACAUUGUUUCCAUGUGUUUUGCUGGAGUGUAAAUAAAAAAAUUCAUUCAGUAAA